CUAUGCCAAGGGUGGACUGCAAACCAGGUUUGUGUUCUGCCAGCUGCCCACUUUUAGGCUUUGCCAACAGGAAGUUCUGAAAGGAGACAGAAACAGGAGGCGGGACUUCCUGUUCACUUCCUGUCUACUUCCUGCUUCUGGGAGCAUCACCAUGCCAACGCCUGUUUACCUGGCCAAGACAGUUUCUUUAUGUGGUCUCACUGAAUGCAGUUUAUAAUAAUGGAGGACAGACACUGAGCUGCCUCAUAAGAGGACUGAAUCUCAGCUUUGGAGAGCUUCCACUCAGUUUGGAGACCGCGGCAUUAACUGAGUAGUGUCCCCAUCUCAGAGGUCUGAAUUUCAGGUUGUUGGCAUCCUUCUUCUCUACUUUAAACUCAGUAAUUUACAAAUAUUUUCUUUGGUCUUCCAGCCUAGGGGUAGCAGGUACUUCUGACCAUUGCUACUUACCUAAAAAAUUAGCAUCAUCUAACCACCCCACUCCCAAUUUUCAGUUAUUAACAACUUCAUACCUGGUUAAGUUCUUUUUUCUAAAUUUACUACUUCAAUAUGUUUGACCAGGAAUGCUGCUUUCUUGGAGGAGUGGUUUGGGAGUGAGGGGAAGAGGCAAACAGUGGCAAGCCAUGUCAGAAGGCAUUUUCAAGAAGGCCUUUUCCACAUUGCUUUGCCAAAACCACCCCCGGGGCUCUCAGUGAACUCCAGAAGUCCAUAGUGUUGUUCUUCAGAUAGCCAAGAACCCUGGACUCACAAAUAUUAGUGAGGAAGAUCUUCCUUUUGGAACCCUGUGGAUAUUUCUCCAACCUGCAGACUAUUAGCAGUCUCAGACCAAGAAAAAGGAUUUUUAUUGGUGCAGUUGCCACUUAAAGAACAACAACAACAAAACAAAAUUUCUGAAGGGUAUUUUUCUUGCUUCACUCCUGUAAAGUUGUGGGAACAAAGGAACGACAGCUGAACUCCAAAAGAAGAUGGGGCCAUACCUGUGUGUUUCUGUCACUCCUUUGUUAAGGGGGGAAGGCUCUCAGGUUCUUAGUGAGCAAUGACCAGCUUUUUAUGAAUGGUUUUGCGGCAGGAGAGCACAGGUACAAACUCACAUGUUCUGGUUGAAAUAACUUCUUCCUUCUCAGAUAUUGCCAGCAUUUUUUUCUGCCUCACUUCCCAGAAUGAUUCAUUCUUAAGAAUAUGCUCCUAAUGAUGUUAUCUGAAUGUGUUCUCUAAUCUGAGAGCAGGAAACUGAAAGGUGAACGGUAGAGCCACCUGGUGCUCUCUACUUUGCGGAGAUUAAGGAAGAGGCUAAGCAGUUUCUUGGAUGUCCUGUGACUAUCAGAAAGUAUAUAUUUUUUGGAGGGGCUGAAAGAAGAUCGGGAAAUUUGUUGUUCACACAGCUGCUUCCAUGGAACUCACUCAGUCUUCCCUUGGAAACAGAAUAUACGCCCUAGCAAGAGAUCUUCCCCAUCCAGGGAAAUAAACUGUUAAAGGAGGAUUUUUAGAAUGGAUCGACAAAACAAAGAUCUUCCUUUGGAAGAUCUGGGAAGGCACCAUAAAGAGCUGGCGAGUCAUUGUGCAGGAGAGCCACAACUGUGACACUACCACACGGGCGCUGCACGCCAUAUUAAGGUCAAAAAUAUCUUCAUAGCAAGUGUGCGUGGAUUUUGAUCAUCUGGAUUCUCAACUGGACAACUCACCAACUGCAUACAGCACAUUCUGAGCAGGGAAGUAAGGUUAUCAGUGGAGCCUGUGGUCAGGCGGGAGAGCACAAAGUGGUGUGAUCUCCAUGACCCUGUUCUGUUCUUCCAGUACCAUCCGCGUCCCACUGUGGGAAGAACAUCUGCUCCACAAGCAAGUGUCAGUCACGGGAUGGAUACACCUCCCCUUGGACAAUGACAAGCUUUAUCUACUAUUAGGACUAGCCAGCUGCCUUAAACACGGGUCAGAUCAUAAAGUCUAUGUUUAAGCGACAAUUAGCACAAAGGAAAUAACAUCGUGGAACAGGCAGCCAAGAUGUGUCAUUGUUCAGGUCCUUAAAUGUUUUAAAAACAAGAUUCUAAGUCUGUUGUGAAAAAUAUACUUGCCCAGAUGUAAGGGUGAUAAGGUCUUAUGGUUAAUUACUGGGAUGUCGGAAAAGUGAUGACAUUUUGUUUUUCCGACAACCCAAUAAAAUAUUCUAAGUCACUCUUAAAAGUCUGAGCGAGACCGCAGAUUUACAACUGAUAUGGAAUGCUUACACUUAAAGUCAGUAUUGUUUUUGAGAUCUGUCUCUCCCUUGGAAUGAAUAAUUGGCCAAUUUUAUCCCCCCCACCUUAAUUUCAAAUGAAGAGUGUCUAAAGACUUAGAAAAACAAGAUUUCAAGUAGUUUUUUGCUUUCACAGUAAUGAGGUGAACACUUACUUUUACCAUCACAGGCUACAAUUUUCACUUUAUCCACUUUAAUCAGCUCUGUCACCUCUCUGAAUUCAACAUCAUUCAAUACAAAAGUCCACACAUUAUCGCAGAAUCUGUAUGUAUUUAGAGAGCCCUUGAAAACAAAACAUUUAGACACACCGUGAGAAAUCUUUUCCCCCCAAAGCCAUUUAAGAGAAGUCAGCUAUCAAUACAUAAUUCUUAAGAGCACGAUUAUUUAACAUACCAUAGAAUCCCCCUCCCCUUUAUUUAAACCCUAACAAACUGGUUAGUGUCUGAAGAGGGCUGAAUGAAAAUUUAAACCUGUGUUCCUGCUACCCCCAUGUGGCUAAAUUAUGAAAGUACAUUUGACUAUUUACUUAAAUAUUUUUUAAAGACAACGUAUUAUGUAUCCUGUGACUUAGUUACGAUAAAUUACUGUAUGCGCGAUUAAGACUACAUGAUGGUCCUAUGCAACAUUCUUCUAAUGAGUAAGUUUAUUUUCCUCUUAGAGGACUGAACCCCAGGGGUGAAAGUGGCUCUGCAAUAGUAGCAGCAAGGGGUCUGCUAGUGAAGGUUUUAAAAGGUGUUACUAGCAGGACUUGACAACUAAUUGGAUGAGGUGGUGGAGGGACAGAGGCACCUCAGAACAGAAGGAAAAAUUAGGGAACUACAGGUUUCCAAAGGAACUAAUCAGAAAUAUCACAAAUUAUGCAUCAGGUUUAACAAACUUGGCAAGAGAAGUUUUAGUGGAAUGGUGAGAUUAAUGCAUUAAAAAAGGGCAGUCAUAAAUGUCAAAAUAUUUUUUAAAAAUGACAUCUCCUUGGAUAAAAUCUGGGUCUUUAUAAGGCCGAUCUCCUUAUAAACUGACAUCCUUAAAUUUAUGUGUAAUCAAUGAUCCUGUGAGUGAGUAUGAUCUAAUGGGUAGAAGCAGUUGUGUAAAUUUGAACAAUGCAUGUCAUUGGGAUUAAUGGCUAGUGUGUGAAUAUUCACUUUCAAAAAUAUUUUGAAAUUCUACUAUAGUAUAAAUGUAUUUGCUUCAUAUCUAUCAUUUUAGACUUUAUUGGUGAACCCUUAAUAGUAAAUAACCUUUUUUAUUUUUCAGUUUGAAUUUAGCCACUAGUGACAAAGAACAAAAUUUUAGAUUUGUUUUUUAUGUUGUAUUCCAAAAGUUCCUUCUUAUGGUAAUAUCUGGCUUUGGUAAAGUAACUGAUUUUCAGUCAUUUGGCCAAAUGGUAGUAAAAAGAACAUCCAAAAAAGUUUAGAAGAACUCUUUCCUGACUGUUAAACUUCAAACAGUAAGCAAGUAUUAAAGUAAUCACAGCUCUCAAAAAUGUACAAUGGCUUUUUAAAAGACUAGUUACACAUAUUAGUUCAAUCUGUAUUUUCUCAUUAAGUUCCAAGGUCUUGUUAAUUUAUGUUGAAAUUUAUUAGUUAAAAAACAACAUAUAGUUACCAACUUUAGCUCUACUAUAUGAUCUAAGUUACAUGUUAUUCUAGAUAUAAAUUUAAAUUAUAAAUGAAUACAUAAAUGCGGUGUGGUAAUAACGGCUUUGAAAAUUACAUCUAUUACCAUUGUAUUUUUUUGCCUCACUUAACUUUGCUUAGUUUGGCAAAAAUUAUUUGUAAACAUUCUGGGACUUAAAACUGAUCAAGUUUGCUGUAAUAAAGAAGGAUAAGUAAUGGGAAAUAGCAAGAAUAAAAAAAAAUCUGGCCAAAAGUAAGUAUAGCUUUUGAAAAGUAGAAAAACUUACGAGGCGCUAUGCAAAAAAAUGCAAUUGUCAAAUUAUGUUCCAUUUUAGCUGAACAAUUAAAGGAUCAGAUUUCAACACAUGGUUUUAUACAAACAAAAGCAAACUAAUGUUCUAAGAAUCAAGAAUUCACCGAUAAACUUUUUACUCCAGAUGAAUUUCAGAUAUGUGAAAUAAGACUGCUAAUUGGGGCCUUGUAUGUAAAACACUGAAAUGUCUGUUGAAUAAAUAUUUUUCU